rnacentral:rRNA from 1 species
GACGAACGCUGGCGGCGUGCUUAACACAUGCAAGUCGAGCGGUAAGGCCCUUUCGGGGGUACACGAGCGGCGAACGGGUGAGUAACACGUGGGUGACCUGCCCUCAGCUCUGGGAUAAGCCUGGGAAACUGGGCCUAAUACUGGAUAUGACUCCACGGUGCAUGUCGUGGGGUGGAAAGCCUUGUGCGGCUGAGGAUGGGCCCGCGGCCUAUCAGCUUGUUGGUGGGGUGANGGCCUACCAAGGCGACGACGGUAGCCGGCCUGAGAGGGCGACCGGCCACACUGGGACUGAGACACGGCCCAGACUCCUACGGGAGGCAGCAGUGGGGAAUCUUGCGCAAUGGGCGAAAGCCUGACGCAGCGACGCCGCGUGAGGGAUGACGGCCU